rnacentral:rRNA from 1 species
AUGCUAGUGGACCAAUUUGGGAGACUGAAGGAACUCAACCCUGGAUUUUUCUUUGACUACGAAGUCGAUGAAACUGGUACACUAUUGCGUUUGUUUUGGGCAGAUCCAACCAGCAGGAAAAAUUACAGUCAUUUCCAUGAUGUGUUGUCCUUUGAUUCCACAUACAGCACGAACCAAUACGACUAUAUUUUCGCUCCUUUCACUGGUAUCAACCAUCAUAUGCAGAGUGUGUUUCUAGGUGCUCGUUUCUUACUCAAUGAGACGGCCAAGGACUAUGUCUGGUUGUUUGACGUUUUUCUCAAAUGCAUGGGUGGGGUUGCGCCUGGCGUUAUCAUAACAGAUGAGUGUGGUAGCAUCAGGAAAGCUAUCGAGGCACUUCUACCUAAUACCAUGCACCGGUUGUGUAUGUGGCAUAUUAUGCGGAAGGUUCCUAAGAAGGUUGCUCCUAAAUUUAGAAGCGAUGAAUUAUUCUACAAGAGAAUGGAUUCUUGUGUAUGGAAUUCUGAGACACCUGCAGAAUUUGAAGAAAGUUGGAAGUCUUUAAUAUCAGAAUUUGGCUUACAAGACAAUACAUGGUUUGGAAAAUGUUGCUCGAUCCGUGGGUCAUGGGUGCCGGCGUAUUUCAUGGACACCCCCUUGCUGGUAUUCUCAGAACCACCUCUAGGUCAGAGAAUGAAAACUCAUUUUUCAAGAAUUUUAUCCGGCGCAAGCUCGCUUUUAUUGAUUUUUGGCUUAGAUUCGACACCGCCUUGA